GCUUCCUGGGGUAGUUCAGCUGGUAGAACAUGAGAUUCUUAAUCUCAGGGCUGUGGGUUCGAGCCCCACCUUGGGCA